rfam:Clostridium sp. CAG:510 genomic scaffold, scf105
UUGCGCCUGCGGCGGAUUAAGCAGCGGCCUUGUUAUGACUUUGCAGGCAGCCGGCUUCUGUUCAAAUCCCGUAUAAUUAAGCAUAGCUUAAUUUUCAAAGCUUUU